UACGGGGGGAGCAAGCGUUGUUCGGAUUUACUGGGCGUAAAGGGCGUGUAGGCGGCCACCGCAAGUCGACUGUGAAAUCUCCGGGCUUAACUCGGAAAGGUCAGCCGAUACUGCGGGGCUAGAGUGCAGAAGGGGCAACUGGAAUUCUCGGUGUAGCGGUGAAAUGCGUAGAUAUCGAGAGGAACACCUGCGGCGAAGGCGGGUUGCUGGGCUGACACUGACGCUGAUGCGCGAAAGCCAGGGGAGCGAACGGG
rnacentral:rRNA from 1 species